AAUAUUGGACUAUGGGGGCAACCCUGAUCCAGCCAUGCCGCGUGUGUGAAGAAGGUCUUCGGAUUUUCCCGCCCUUUAAGUUGGGAGGCAGGGUUGUAGGUUAAUACCCUGAAAUUUGGAUGUUAACAACAGAAUAAGCACCGGCUCACUUCGUCCCUGCAGCCGCGGUAAUACGAAGGGUGCAAGCGUUAAUCGGAAUUACUGGGCGUAAAGCGCGCGUAGGUGGUUCGUUAAGUUGGAAGUGAAAGCCCCGGGCUUAACCUGGGAAUUGCUUUCAAAACUGACGAGCUAGAGUACGGUAGAGGGGAGUGGAAUUUCCUGUGGAGCGGUGAAAUGCGUAGAUAUAGGAAGGAACAUCAGUGGCGAAGGCGACUACCUGGACUGAUACUGACACUGAGGUGCGAAAGCGUGGGGAGCAAACAGG
rnacentral:rRNA from 1 species